UACAGAGGGGGCAAGCGUUGUUCGGAAUCACUGGGCGUAAAGGGCGCGUAGGUGGUGGCUUAAGCGUGCGGUGAAAGCUCGGGGCUCAACCCCGAGUCGGCCGUGCGAACUGGGCUCACUGGAGCAUAGUAGAGGCAGGUGGAAUUCCGGGUGUAGCGGUGGAAUGCGUAGAGAUCCGGAAGAACACCGGUGGCGAAGGCGGCCUGCUGGGCUAUGGCUGACACUGAGGCGCGACAGCGUGGGGAGCAAACAGG
rnacentral:rRNA from 1 species